rnacentral:rRNA from 1 species
UCUUUCCACAAUGGACGAAAGUCUGAUGGAGCAAUGCCGCGUGAGUGAAGAAGGGUUUCGGCUCGUAAAACUCUGUUGUUAAAGAAGAACACCUUUGAGAGUAACUGUUCAAGGGUUGACGGUAUUUAACCAGAAAGCCACGGCUAACUACGUGCCAGCAGCCGCGGUAAUACGUAGGUGGCAAGCGUUGUCCGGAUUUAUUGGGCGUAAAGCGAGCGCAGGCGGUUUUUUAAGUCUGAUGUGAAAGCCUUCGGCUUAACCGGAGAAGUGCAUCGGAAACUGGGAGACUUGAGUGCAGAAGAGGACAGUGGAACUCCAUGUGUAGCGGUGGAAUGCGUAGAUAUAUGGAAGAACACCAGUGGCGAAGGCGGCUGUCUAGUCUGUAACUGACGCUGAGGCUCGAAAGCAUGGGUAGCGAACAGGAUUAGAUACCCUGGUAGUCCAUGCCGUAAACGAUGAGUGCUAAGUGUUGGAGGGUUUCCGCCCUUCAGUGCUGCAGCUAACGCAUUAAGCACUCCGCCUGGGGAGUACGACCGCAAGGUUGAAACUCAAAGGAAUUGACGGGGGCCCGCACAAGCGGUGGAGCAUGUGGUUUAAUUCGAAGCUACGCGAAGAACCUUACCAGGUCUUGACAUCUUCUGCCAAUCUUAGAGAUAAGACGUUCCCUUCGGGGACAGAAUGACAGGUGGUGCAUGGUUGUCGUCAGCUCGUGUCGUGAGAUGUUGGGUUAAGUCCCGCAACGAGCGCAACCCUUAUUAUUAGUUGCCAGCAUUCAGUUGGGCACUCUGGUGAGACUGCCGGUGACAAACCGGAGGAAGGUGGGGAUGACGUCAAAUCAUCAUGCCCCUUAUGACCUGGGCUACACACGUGCUACAAUGGACGGUACAACGAGUCGCGAAGUCGUGAGGUCUAAGCUAAUCUCUUAAAGCCGUUCUCAGUUCGGAUUGUAGGCUGCAACUCGCC